ensembl:snRNA U6 U6 spliceosomal RNA
GUACUCUCUUUGACAGCACAUAUACUAAAACUGGAAAGAUAGAGAAGAUUAGCAUGGCCCCUGCGCAAGGAUGAUAUGCAAAUACAUGAAACAUUCCAUAUUUCU